rfam:Tenacibaculum soleae strain TCD-KL19 scaffold_0, whole genome shotgun sequence.
UAUUUUGAGGAAAAAUUUGACUGAUUGCAACCUCUUUGAACAUUGAGUUCAUAAAUAAAAUGCUAAAGCAGUAAUA